UAGCAGCCCCUCCUAACCCCUUGGGGCAGG
rnacentral:sRNA from 1 species